GAACGCUGGCGGCGUGCCUAAUACAUAGCAAGUCGAACGGCUUUUCUAUGGAAGCUUGCUUCCACUGAGAAGAUAGUGGCGAACGGGUGAGUAACACGUGGGUAACCUGCCCAUAAGAGGGGGAUAACAUCCGGAAACGGGUGCUAAUACCGCAUAGUUUCUUGAUCGCAUGAUCGGAAAGGAAAGACGGCCUUUGUGCUGUCGCUUAUGGAUGGACCCGCGGCGUAUUAGUUAGUUGGUGAGGUAACGGCUCACCAAGACGAUGAUACGUAGCCGACCUGAGAGGGUGAUCGGCCACAUUGGGACUGAGACACGGCCCAAACUCCUACGGGAGGCAGCAGUAGGGAAUCUUCCGCAAUGGACGAAAGUCUGACGGAGCAACGCCGCGUGAGUGAAGAAAGGGUUUUCGGAUCGUAAAACUCUGUUGUCAGAGAAGAACAAGUUGGAGAGUAACUGCUCCAGCCUUGACGGUAUCUGACCAGAAAGCCACGGCUAACUACGUGCCAGCAGCCGC
rnacentral:rRNA from 1 species